UGCAAGUCGAACGAAGCUUUCUUUCACCGAAUGCUUGCAUUCACCGAAAGAAGCUUAAUGGCGAACGGGUGAGUAACACGUAGGCAACCUGCCCAAAAGAGGGGGAUAACACUUGGAAACAGGUGCUAAUACCGCAUAACCAUGAACACCGCAUGAUGUUCAUGUAAAAGACGGCUUUUGCUGUCACUUUUGGAUGGGCCUGCGGCGUAUUAACUUGUUGGUGGGGUAACGGCCUACCAAGGUGAUGAUACGUAGCCGAACUGAGAGGUUGAUCGGCCACAUUGGGACUGAAACACGGCCCAAACUCCUACGGGAGGCAGCAGUAGGGAAUCUUCCACAAUGGACGAAAGUCUGAUGGAGCAACGCCGCGUGAAUGAAGAAGGCCUUCGGGUCGUAAAAUUCUGUUGUCAGAAAAGAACGUGCGUGAGAGUAACUGUUCACGUAUUGACGGUAUCUGACCAGAAAGCCACGGCUAACUACGUGCCAGCAGCCGCGGUAAUACGUAGGUGGCAAGCGUUGUCCGGAUUUAUUGGGCGUAAAGGGAACGCAGGCGGUCUUUUAAGUCUGAUGUGAAAGCCUUCGGCUUAACCGAAGUAGUGCAUUGGAAACUGGAAGACUUGAGUGCAGAAGAGGAGAGUGGAACUCCAUGUGUAGCGGUGAAAUGCGUAGAUAUAUGGAAGAACACCAGUGGCGAAAGCGGCUCUCUGGUCUGUAACUGACGCUGAGGUUCGAAAGCGUGGGUAGCAAACAGGAUUAGAUACCCUGGUAGUCCACGCCGU
rnacentral:rRNA from 1 species